UUCAGUUCCUUCCUUACAACAUUCACAAUAUUAUUCGUAUUGUGUACAUCAAUUGUCAGUUUCUAAACAUCGACAUUCUUCAAUCUCUAAGAAUUUUUCAAAUUUUGUUGUACUGAUUCAGUAAGACGAAAAUCCACUAUGAUUCGAAUGAACGGGAACUUAGACCAAAAAGCUACGGAAAUCGUUCGAUUUUUGUUACAUUUACUCGCGACACUAUAAAUUCUGCGAAAGGAGCCAGCUGAAGAACGUGAAAAAGGACCAGAAGUCAAUGAUGAGAAAUCUUGAACGUGCACUCCUUUACUUCUGCGGAACGUUAAACUUAAUAUUAAACAUUAGUAUCAAAUUUGGAAAAAGAUGAACAAUAAGUUCCUGACAAUCAUAAACGACGAAUCGAAACAAACGUCGAAGUCGCCAUCGAAAUGCGAAAAUUGACGACAGCCAACGAGAACGACCUGCCCUUCUAUCUGAUGGGGAUAUUCCUCGAAUAACAAGCUCGUGUUUAUGCACGACGAACUCGAGGAGGAAGCGUCGCAGCCACGAUAAAAAGGAGACUCUUAUUAAUAGGUCUGCUCGAGUUUAGAUACAAAUGGUUCGCAGUUAUCGGCGCCCCAUAGAAACGCGGACUCGUGGCCUUUUGAAUCGUCAUGAUCGACGCGGCCUGGAUCAUUGAUCUGGAGACUAUACGCUCUGUUUCGAAACCAAUGAACAGUAAACUGGAUUUGCGACUCGGGAUGGAUGACUAGCUUGGAGAUGUCAUAAAACAGAAUAGAUUGGCAAUAAAUUAACGGUUGGCAAGAAAGGACGGUGAUUAGAAUAUAUGAAGAUAUAAUUGUCGAAUUUGAGGAUUUUGAUUGAAGCAGUUAUCCCUUAUCAAAUACU